rnacentral:rRNA from 1 species
GGAAUAUUGGUCAAUGGAGGCAACUCUGAACCAGCCAUGCCGCGUGCAGGAAGACGGCCCUAUGGGUUGUAAACUGCUUUUAUUCGGGACUAAACCUCUGCUCGUGAGCAGAGUUGAAUGUACCGAAAGAAUCAGGAUCGGCGAACUCCGUGCCAGCAGCCGAGGUAAUACGGAGGAUCCAAGCGUUAUCCUGAUUUAUUGGGUUUAAAGGGUGCGUAGGCGGCUUAUUAAGUCAGGGGUGAAAGACGGUGGCUCAACCAUCGCAGUGCCCUUGAUACUGAUGAGCUUGAAUACACUUGAGGUAGGCGGAAUGUGACAAGUAGCGGUGAAAUGCAUAGAUAUGUCACAGAACACCAAUUGCGAAGGCAGCUUACUAAGGUGCAAUUGACGCUGAGGCACGAAAGCGUGGGGAUCAA